UNUGGCUUAACUGGGGGCUUGCGGUGGGUACGGGCCGGCUUGAGUGCGGUAGGGGAGACUGGAACUCCUGGCGUAGCGGUGGAAUGCGCAGAUAUCAGGAAGANCACCGGUGGCGAAGGCGGGUCUCUGGGCCGUUACUGACGCUGAGGAGCGAAAGCGUGGGGAGCGAACAGGAUUAGAUACCCUGGUAGUCCACGCCGUAAACGUUGGGCACUAGGUGUGGGGGGCCUUUUCCGGGUCUUCCGCGCCGUAGCUAACGCAUUAAGUGCCCCGCCUGGGGAGUACGGCCGCAAGGCUAAAACUCAAAGGAAUUGACGGGGGCCCGCACAAGCGGCGGAGCAUGCGGAUUAAUUCGAUGCAACGCGAAGAACCUUACCAAGGCUUGACAUGUGCCGGUCGGCUCCGGAGACGGGGCUUCCUCCUUGUGGGGCCGGUUCACAGGUGGUGCAUGGUUGUCGUCAGCUCGUGUCGUGAGAUGUUGGGUUAAGUCCCGCAACGAGCGCAACCCUUGUCCCGUGUUGCCAGCACGUUGUGGUGGGGACUCGCGGGAGACUGCCGGGGUCAACUCGGAGGAAGGUGGGGAUGACGUCAAAUCAUCAUGCCCCUUAUGUCUUGGGCUUCACGCAUGCUACAAUGGCCGGUACAGAGGGCUGCGAUACCGUGAGGUGGAGCGAAUCCCUUAAAGCCGGUCUCAGUUCGGAUCGGUGUCUGCAACUCGACACCGUGAAGUUGGAGUCGCUAGUAAUCGCAGAUCAGCAACGCUGCGGUGAAUACGUUCUCGGGCCUUGUACACACCGCCCGUCACGUCAUGAAAGUCGGCAACACCCGAAGCCCGUGGCCCUACGGGGAGCGG
rnacentral:rRNA from 1 species